GUACCGCUAGUCUAAUGGUUAGGAUAUCUGCCUUCCAAGCAGAUGGUCCGGGUUCGAUUUCCGGGCGGUGCA
rnacentral:tRNA from 1 species